rnacentral:piRNA from 1 species
UCUGAGACAUCUUCUAUUUUC